rnacentral:rRNA from 1 species
UGGGGGAUAUUGCACAAUGGGCGAAAGCCUGAUGCAGCGACGCCGCGUGGGGGAUGAAGGCCUUCGGGUUGUAAACUUCUUUUGCUCUGAACAAGGCGCACCAUGGGGUGUGUUGAGUGUAGGGGUUGAUUAGCGCCGGCUAACUACGUGCCAGCAGCCGCGGUAAUACGUAGGGCGCGAGCGUUGUCCGGAAUUAUUGGGCGUAAAGGGCUUGUAGGUGGCUGGUUGCGUCUGUCGUGAAAGCUCAUGGCUUAACUGUGGGUUUGCGGUGGGUACGGCUGGCUUGAGUGCAGUAGGGGAGGCUGGAAUUCCUGGUGUAGCGGUGGAAUGCGCAGAUAUCAGGAGGAAUACCGGUGGCGAAGGCGGGUCUCUGGGCUGUUACUGACACUGAGGAGCGAAAGCAUGGGGAGCGAACGGG